UCUUCAGAGGAGACAAGAGAGGGACACCUAGGGGUUUGAUAUCAGCCCUUCAGGCUCGUAGGAUGUUGAGGAAGGGGUGUCAGGGGUUCCUAGCUUAUGUGAGAAAGCUAGACAGUCGGGUUAGGGAACCAUCCUCAGUACCAGUUGUUAGAGAAUUCCCAGAUGUGUUUCCUGAAGAGCUUCCAGGACUACCACCUGAUAGGGAAAUAGAGUUCGAGAUAGAGUUGAUGCCCGGUGCCAGACCGAUCUCUAUUCCUCCCUACAGGAU
rnacentral:lncRNA from 1 species